rnacentral:rRNA from 1 species
GACGAACGCUGGCGGCGUGCCUAAUACAUGCAAGUAGAACGCUGAAGAGAGGAGCUUACUCUUCUUGGAUGAGUUGCGAACGGGUGAGUAACGCGUAGGUAACCUGCCUUGUAGCGGGGGAUAACUAUUGGAAACGAUAGCUAAUACCGCAUAACAAUGGAUGACACAUGUCAUUUAUUUGAAAGGGGCAAUUGCUCCACUACAAGAUGGACCUGCGUUGUAUUAGCUAGUAGGUGAGGUAAUGGCUCACCUAGGCGACGAUACAUAGCCGACCUGAGAGGGUGAUCGGCCACACUGGGACUGAGACACGGCCCAGACUCCUACGGGAGGCAGCAGUAGGGAAUCUUCGGCAAUGGGGGCAACCCUGACCGAGCAACGCCGCGUGAGUGAAGAAGGUUUUCGGAUCGUAAAGCUCUGUUGUAAGUCAAGAACGGGUGUGAGAGUGGAAAGUUCACACUGUGACGGUAGCUUACCAGAAAGGGACGACUAACUACGUG